UGGGGGAUAUUGCACAAUGGAGGAAACUCUGAUGCAGCAACGCCGCGUGAGGGAAGAAGGUUUUCGGAUUGUAAACCUCUGUUUUCGGUGAAGAAAAAAAUGACGGUAGCCGAAGAGGAAGCCACGGCUAACUACGUGCCAGCAGCCGCGGUAAUACGUAGGUGGCAAGCGUUGUCCGGAUUUACUGGGUGUAAAGGGUGCGCAGGCGGGACUGUAAGUUGGAUGUGAAAUACCGAGGCUCAACCUCGGGGCUGCAUCCAAAACUAUAGUUCUUGAGUGAAGUAGAGGUAGGCGGAAUUCCGAGUGUAGCGGUGAAAUGCGUAGAUAUUCGGAGGAACACCAGUGGCGAAGGCGGCCUACUGGGCUUUAACUGACGCUGAGGCACGAAAGCAUGGGGAGCAAACAGG
rnacentral:rRNA from 2 species